GGGAAUAUUGCACAAUGGGCGCAAGCCUGAUGCAGCCAUGCCGCGUGUAUGAAGAAGGCCUUCGGGUUGUAAAGUACUUUCAGUCGUGAGGAAGGUAGUGUAGUUAAUAGCUGCAUCAUUUGACGUUAGCGACAGAAGAAGCACCGGCUAACUCCGUGCCAGCAGCCGCGGUAAUACGGAGGGUGCGAGCGUUAAUCGGAAUUACUGGGCGUAAAGCGCAUGCAGGUGGUGGAUUAAGUCAGAUGUGAAAGCCCGGGGCUCAACCUCGGAACCGCAUUUGAAACUGGUUCACUAGAGUACUGUAGAGGGGGGUAGAAUUUCAGGUGUAGCGGUGAAAUGCGUAGAGAUCUGAAGGAAUACCGGUGGCGAAGGCGGCCCCCUGGACAGAUACUGACACUCAGAUGCGAAAGCGUGGGGAGCAAACAGGAUUAGAUACCCUGGUAGUCCACGCCGUAAACGAUGUCUACUUGGAGGUUGUGGCCUUGAGCCGUGGCUUUCGGAGCUAACGCGUUAAGUAGACCGCCUGGGGAGUACGGUCGCAAGAUUAAAACUCAAAUGAAUUGACGGGGGCCCGCACAAGCGGUGGAGCAUGUGGUUUAAUUCGAUGCAACGCGAAGAACCUUACCUACUCUUGACAUCCAGAGAAGCCAGCGGAGACGCAGGUGUGCCUUCGGGAACUCUGAGACAGGUGCUGCAUGGCUGUCGUCAGCUCGUGUUGUGAAAUGUUGGGUUAAGUCCCGCAACGAGCGCAACCCUUAUCCUUGUUUGCCAGCGAGUCAUGUCGGGAACUCCAGGGAGACUGCCGGUGAUAAACCGGAGGAAGGUGGGGACGACGUCAAGUCAUCAUGGCCCUUACGAGUAGGGCUACACACGUGCUACAAUGGCGCAUACAGAGGGCAGCAAGCUAGCGAUAGUGAGCGAAUCCCAAAAAGUGCGUCGUAGUCCGGAUUGGAGUCUGCAACUCGACUCCAUGAAGUCGGAAUCGCUAGUAAUC
rnacentral:rRNA from 1 species